AUAAACGGAUCAUAUUGCUAGCUCAUAUUGAGUUGUCUUAUGAUUCCGCAAGCCCGCCUCCGACAAGUGGCGCCCGAACAGGGACCCUGAAGACAUAAGUGAACCUGCUUUCUAUGAGAGCUGGAGGAAAGGCCGUGUGCGCUCUAAAGAGGAAUUCGUACAGCUGCCCUCAGAGUGCCGGAUGCUAACCCGUGGUAUUCCUCCAAGAAGGUUCCUGAAGAAGGCAAGAUUUGUUCUCCUGAAGUCCAAAAUUGUGAUCCUACUUACUUCUGUGCUUCCUCCACGCAGGAUCCUGAACUCUACUGGUUGGAAGAGGAACACGACACACUUGGGGGCUUGAACAGUGACGCUGUCAAAAGGAGGGUUUUCAUCUAGCAUCCUCUGCAGGUACCUGACAGAAAACUUCCCACAAAAGAAGACAAGAUAUGUUUUCCUCCUUUAAAUUUGUCUUUCAUUAAAACCUGGAUGAACAGAAUACUCUUUAAUCCUCGAUCCCCAUGGGAUUCUGAACUCCUUAAAUCACUCAGAGUACUGAGACACGGCAGAAUAAACAAAAUGUUUUAUAUAUUAUUUUACAAAUUUAUUCAAUUAUUAAAAAAAAAAUACAACUAAAGAGAAUCCCAGAUCAUAUCCCAGGAACAUGCCACACAACUCCACAAGUUCCCAAAGGAUUAAAAUCCAACAGGUUUUAAUGAAAGCUCCAAGUCUACAAAGAAACGUGUUGGUAUAACUAAGUGGUGACUUUUGCACAAUCUCUAUGCACUCGUUGAAACUGUCUUUGAGAAUCACAAAAAGCAGUUCCUUUUGACAGGUCUAACAUAGCAUGUGAAGUAUGCUUAGUCAGAUUGGAGGACAGGAGAAUGGAGACAAACCUAUUGAUGUGGACCAGCACCUAGCGCUUGUUUUUUUCACUUUAUGGUCUCUCAGUGCAUAGACAUUUAGAUGGAGAAAUUUGUUUACAUUUUCUAACCUUGUUCUGAACAAAUGAAUUGCUCAGUGCUGCCAGUAUGUCCUUUGGUGUUUUUCUCUAUUCAUAAUACUUUUUCGUUACGUUCUCACCUCUAUAUGUUGUUGACAUUGCUGAAUAAAAAAAUUAGCUCUCAAAACACAGGUGCAAAUUCUUUAGCUUUGAACAUUUCCUACACACAUACAGAAUUACUAGAUAAUUACAUCUGAACUCAUCUGAAAAAGUUUAGUAGUAUCUUCUAAGAUUUUCUACCUAUCAUUAAUUUUCUGACUCAGAACAACAGAAGGAACUAGAAAAGGAAAAAGAAGAACAGCUGGAUUAAGCAUACACACGUCCACUCCAAGGUCUGUAGCUACACUAUGAGUUUGUAAAAAUGAGCAAGUUUGGACUUGCAGUGUGACUGGAGUAUGAUUAGGGAAAGGAUCCUUUUAGUGCUGGAUACAGAUAACAGUAUUUGCUAAACAAUUGAACAAAAAUACAUGCAGUGGGAUCCUAUUACUGCAUGAGAAUAGGACAAAAACUUUGCCAAAAUAAGUUUCAAUUAAACUGUACUCUCAUCACUAACAAUCUCUUGAAGUGUGAGGAAAAGUCAAAAACAUCAUCAUUGAGUAUAUUCUUUUUCCUUGAAAACUGUCAUUUGAACACAGAACUGUCCACGUUUCUCCCUUCGGCUAACUUUGAAAAUGAUUUCUGUCAUAGGCUUUCCUUGAUUGGUGACUAAUUACUUGGAAAACAUUUCUUAAGAUGCCUUGGAACUCUGCUGGGGGAAACUUGAUAGUUUCUAGAGACUCCUGG